UACGUAGGGGGCAAGCGUUUGUCCGGAUUUAUUGGGCGUAAAGAGCUCGUAGGCGGCUCGGUAAGUCGGAUGUGAAACCUCCAGGCUCAACCUGGAGACGCCAUCUGAUACUGCCGUGGCUUGAGUCCGGUAGAGGAGCAGGGAAUUCCUGGUGUAGCGGUGAAAUGCGCAGAUAUCAGGAGGAACACCAGCGGCGAAGGCGCUGCUCUGGGCCGGUACUGACGCUGAGGAGCGAAAGCGUGGGGAGCGAACAGG
rnacentral:rRNA from 1 species